UAGGGAAUAUUGGGCAAUGGAGGGAACUCUGACCCAGCCAUGCCGCGUGCAGGAUGAAGGCGUUAUGCGUUGUAAACUGCUUUUAUAUAGGAAGAAAUAGUCCUUGCGAGGAAAGUUGACGGUACUAUAUGAAUAAGCACCGGCUAACUCCGUGCCAGCAGCCGCGGUAAUACGGAGGGUGCAAGCGUUGUCCGGAUUUAUUGGGUUUAAAGGGUGCGUAGGCGGUUUAUUAAGUCAGUGGUGAAAGACGGUCGCUCAACGAUUGCAGUGCCAUUGAUACUGGUAGACUUGAGUAUGAUUGAGGUAGCUGGAAUGGAUAGUGUAGCGGUGAAAUGCAUAGAUAUUAUCCAGAACNCCAAUUGCGUAGGCAAGUUACUAAGUCAUAACUGACGCUGAGGCACGAAAGUGUGGGUAUCAAACAGGAUUAGAUACCCGCGUAGUCCCUGAGCGGGCUGGCAAGGCGCAU
rnacentral:rRNA from 1 species